rnacentral:rRNA from 1 species
GACGAACGCUGGCGGCGUGCUUAACACAUGCAAGUCGAACGGAAAGGCCCUGCUUUUGUGGGGUGCGCGAGUGGCGAACGGGUGAGUAACACGUGAGUAACCUGCCCUUGACUGUGGGAUAACUUCAGGAAACUGGGGCUAAUACCGGAUAGGAGCUCCUGCUGCAUGGUGGGGGUUGGAAAGUUUCGGCGGUUGGGGAUGGACUCGCGCCUUAUCAGCUUGUUGGUGGGGUAGUGGCUUACCAAGGCUUUGACGGGUAGCCGGCCUGAGAGGGUGACCGGCCACAUUGGGACUGAGAUACGGCCCAGACUCCUACGGGAGGCAGCAGUGGGGAAUAUUGCACAAUGGGCGGAAGCCUGAUGCAGCACCGCCGCGUGCGGGAUGACGGCAUUCGGGUUGUAAACCGCUUUCGCCUGUGACGAAGCGUGAGUGACGGUAAUGGGUAAAGAAGCACCGGCUAACUACGUG